rnacentral:rRNA from 1 species
GAUGAACGCUGGCGGCGUGCCUAAUACAUGCAAGUCGAGCGAACAGACGAGGAGCUUGCUCCUCUGACGUUAGCGGCGGACGGGUGAGUAACACGUGGAUAACCUACCUAUAAGACUGGGAUAACUUCGGGAAACCGGAGCUAAUACCGGAUAAUAUAUUGAACCGCAUGGUUCAAUAGUGAAAGACGGUUUUGCUGUCACUUAUAGAUGGAUCCGCGCCGCAUUAGCUAGUUGGUAAGGUAACGGCUUACCAAGGCAACGAUGCGUAGCCGACCUGAGAGGGUGAUCGGCCACACUGGAACGGAGACACGGUCCAGACUCCUACGGAGGCAGCAGUAGGGAAUCUUCCGCAAUGGGCGAAAGCCUGACGGAGCAACGCCGCGUGAGUGAUGAAGGUCUUCGGAUCGUAAAACUCUGUUAUUAGGGAAGAACAAAUGUGUAAGUAACUAUGCACGUCUUGACGGUACCUAAUCAGAAAGCCACGGCUAACUACGUG